UAUAUACUGCUAGGCUUGGUUUCUGGGGGUGUACUCUUUAUGGAGUUGCCCCGUAAUGCAUUAGCCAAACUCAAUUCAUCUCGAAAUUGACUCUGUGUAAUAGACUAUUCGCAGAGGAGAGAUCAUGAGUUGGCUACUAAUCAACUUAGGUCCAUUUUAAUUUAGACCUCAAAUCAGAUAGGAUUACCCGCUGAACUUAA
rnacentral:misc_RNA from 1 species